GCAUCUAGCAAGAACUUGGCACUGUGAUCUGUGUGGAAGUAGCCGUCCGUUUUUUAGCAUCACAUCACAGUCUGAGUUCUUGCUGGACGG
rnacentral:pre_miRNA from 2 species